rnacentral:rRNA from 1 species
CCUACGGGCGGCAGCAGUGAGGAAUAUUGGUCAAUGGGCGAGAGCCUGAACCAGCCAAGUCGCGUGAGGGAGUACUGCCCUAUGGGUUGUAAACCUCUUUUGUCGGGGAGCAAAAGCCGGACGUGUCCGGCUGUGAGAGUACCCGAAGAAAAAGCAUCGGCUAACUCCGUGCCAGCAGCCGCGGUAAUACGGAGGAUGCGAGCGUUAUCCGGAUUUAUUGGGUUUAAAGGGUGCGCAGGCGGAUUUUUAAGUCAGCGGUAAAAUCGUGGGGCUCAACCCCAUCCAGCCGUUGAAACUGGGGAUCUAGAGUGUGCGAGAGGUAUGCGGAAUGCGUGGUGUAGCGGUGAAAUGCAUAGAUAUCACGCAGAACUCCGAUUGCGAAGGCAGCAUACCGGCGCCCGACUGACGCUGAAGCACGAAAGCGUGGGUAUCGAACAGGAUUAGAUACCCUAGUAGUC